UCAAUAUAUAUAAUUCUUAUAAAAUCUUUUUGGGGGUCCUCAAUAAUUUUGAAGACUGUAUAGUUGUCCUGAGGCUAAACAUUCAAGAACUGUUGCUCCAGAGAAUGGCUAGAUGAAAUUGGGGAGAGAUCCGAGGAUUCUAACCUUUUGCUUUACUUCUCUCUUUUAUCCCUUCCUUUCAGAGGUUCAUGUACCACAGACAACAAAGCAGAGAGACAGACAGGGCCUGUGUCCCUGAAGACAUUGUUAAGCUGAUGAAUCAGACAGCCCUGAAGGCUGAUCUCCCUCUAGAGAUGCUUCCUGUUAUGUCAAGAUAUUAAAAGAAGAAGGUCCCAGUGUCCUUACAGAGCAAUCACAGAGGAGUCCCAGAGAUGUUUCUGCGUCUCCUGUUUCUGGAGGAUUUACAAGGAAGUGGGAGGGUCCAUCAGCACAACCCUCGCCCCCACCUGGCUCAUCCGAGGUGAGUGCUGUGGAGGGAGGAGAGCAAGACGCCAAAGUGGUGUUUAAAAGUGGAGAGAGGGAGGUUUGAGGGGGCUUUGACAGGUAUGCAAUCCAUUGUCCAAGGGGCCCUGAGAGUUUGUGUUCUCUGCAGCAGGGUGCCCCUUAGCAAACACCACCGGCUCUCUGUUCCUGUCCCAGCUGCUUUGUGCUGUGCCUCAUAAGCGCAGAGAGUUGGCCGUAUAGGGCGCUUUGGAGCCUGAAAGCGCUGGGUUCAAUUCAGGCUCUGCCACUUUCAAGCUCUGCAUUUCUGGACAUGUCUGAACCUCAGUUUUCUUGUCUGUAAAAUGAGGGCAGCCAUGCCUACCUUACAGGAUUUUGGUGAAGGUUAAAUGAGAUAUCACAUAGGUAAAGCCCC
rnacentral:lncRNA from 1 species